AGGACGAACGCUGGCGGCGUGCUUAACACAUGCAAGUCAAGGGGGCCCAGCAAUGGGCAACCGGCGAACGGGUGCGUAACACGUGAGCAACCUACCGAAAUGUGGGGGAUAGCCGGCCUAACGGCCGAGUAAUACCGCAUACGCUCUCGAUGAGGCAUUUCAUUGAGAGGAAACCUACGGGACAUUUCGAGGGGCUCGCGGCCUAUCAGCUAGUUGGAGAGGUAACGGCUCACCAAGGCAACGACGGGUAGC
rnacentral:rRNA from 1 species